GAUGAACGCUGGCGGCGUGCCUAAUACAUGCAAGUCGAGCGAAUGGAUUAAGAGCUUGCUCUUAUGAAGUUAGCGGCGGACGGGUGAGUAACACGUGGGUAACCUGCCCAUAAGACUGGGAUAACUCCGGGAAACCGGGGCUAAUACCGGAUAACAUUUUGAACCGCAUGGUUCGGAAUUGAAAGGCGGAUUCGGCUGUCACUUAUGGAUGGACCCGCGUCGCAUUAGCCAGUUGGUGAGGUAACGGCUCACCAAGGCAACGAUGCGUAGCCGACCUGAGAGGGUGAUCGGCCACACUGGGACUGAGACACGGCCCAGACUCCUACGGGAGGCAGCAGUAGGGAAUCUUCCGCAAUGGACGAAAGUCUGACGGAGCAACGCCGCGUGAGUGAUGAAGGCUUUCGGGUCGUAAAACUCUGUUGUUAGGGAAGAACAAGUGCUAGUUGAAUAAGCUGGCACCUUGACGGUACCUAACCAGAAAGCCACGGCUAACUACGUGCCAGCCACCGCCGUAA
rnacentral:rRNA from 1 species